UACGAAGGGGGCUAGCGUUGUUCGGAAUUACUGGGCGUAAAGCGCACGCAGGCGGCUCGUUGAAUUAGAAGUGAAAGCCCUGAGCUCAACCCGGGAAUUGCUUUUAAGACUGGCGAGCUAGAGUCCGGAAGAGGGUAGUGGAAUUCCCAGUGUAGAGGUGAAAUUCGUAGAUAUUGGGAAGAACACCGGUGGCGAAGGCGGCUACCUGGUCCGGUACUGACGCUCAGGUGCGAAAGCGUGGGGAGCAAACAGG
rnacentral:rRNA from 1 species